AAUGGCUUAGCCAUUUCUAUUUUGAGCACCAACUGUGUGCCAGGCUGAUGAUUUUCCCAGAGAGGGGCUGGAUGCAUGCACAGCCUGGUCAUUCUCACCAAGCUCCUGCCAGCUCUGCCACCAAGGAAACACCUGGCACUUGCAGCCGGCGCCUUCCGCAGGCUCCUGCACCCACAGCAACUCCAGCUGGGAUUCUCUAAGCCUCCAGGGGCCAGGGCUUACCAGAUGAGCUGCUGAGGGGCAGAUGGAUGAGCAGAACCACCCCUCCGCGAGGUCCUGCUGUCCCUGGCGGUGUGAGGUGGGGUGGAAGGUCCUUCUUCGGGUGUGCCCAUGUGCCGGGCUGCUUGGCAUGCUGAGACCCGGAGGGAGCCGGGCACAGCUGACGAGACCUUGGAUGCCCUUUCAGACUUGUGAAGGAGGGAAAAGCUUCUUGUUUUAGUUUGCUCAUGGGUUGGCAGGAGUAGUGACCUUUUAGUCAUUGUAUAAAGCAGCAAUAAAAUGUGAUUUCGGGAGGAACUACUGGGUGGGAGACACCCGCGCUGACCUGCACGGGGCUCCCAUGGGGGAGAUCUGUCUGCCGGGCUAGGUGGGCCUCCUUGCUAGGCUCUGACUCACCUUGGCAAUGGCGUGACCGAGUAGUGCAGUGGCUGGACUGAGAAGGACGAGCGGUCACGUGGUGUCUGGGCUGGAGGCACCAUCCUCACCCCGUCUGUCCAAUGAGGUCUGUCCUGGCUGAGUCUGGUGGCCUCUCUAGGACACGACGCUCAUGUGGUCCAUCCCUGGGGAGACCUGUCCUUCUUCCUUGGACCCAGUCACUCCGAAUCUGUUUCCUGGUGGACUCCUUUGUUCUCAAAUAUCCAUUGCUCUUGUGUGUAUGCUCGUGUGUGAUGGAAAACAUUCUGGGCAGUGUUUUGGCCACUCUCUCUAUAGUUGACAGAAACAAGAGAAAGCCCAGGACCCAUAUGUUUGUCCGUGGCCGAGGGAGAGGCCUCUAACCUCCUCUGCAGAUGGCCAGGGGGUCUGUUACGGACUGAACUGUGUACUCCCCCUGCCUUCAUAUGUUGAAGUCCCAGCUCCUGGUGUCACUGUGCUUGGAGAUGAGGGCUUUCUGGAGGUGAUUAAAAGAGGGCAUAAGGAUGGGGCCCUGAUCCCAUAGGAUCAAUGUCCUUAUAGGAAGAGAUGAGAGGACUCCCUCUUCUUUCUCUCUCUCCCCACUAUGUGUGGACAUGAGGCAGGGAGAGGGCCCUCAUUGGAAACCAAUUGGCCAGCACCCUGAUCUUGUACUUCCUAGGAAUAGAUGUCUGUUGCUUAAGCCCUCCAGUCUGUGGUAUUUGUUAUGGGCACCUGAGCAGAAGAAGACAGGUCCAAAUGCCUUAAUGCUUCUCUAACUAGUUCUCUACCAAAUGGUUUCAGAGAGCCAGGAACGAUGCUAAAGCUUCCUGAUUCGUGACCCUGGCUAAGCAAAUGUAACGGCCCCAUUGACUCGCAGCCAUUGGAGAACUGAGCUUAAGAAUCUUUUGGCGGUCUGGAAACUUGGAAAAAGAAAGGGGCAACGUAUCCCACUUGAGCCAAGGCCAUACUUUCCCGGCUGCUCAGAAGACAUUUCUCUGUCUCCCCUGCUCUUCCCCAUCUUGAAUGUGGAUGUCCUGGCUGGGAACACAGCAGCCAACUCGUGAGUGUGGGUAACAAGCAGGGACAAAAGACCACCAGAGUCACAGAGACGCAGCUGCGGUGACACCGAGGCUGUUGGCCGGAGGUCAUCUCAGCUCCUAGCUGGGUAUUAGCUGGAGGCUGUCCUCAGUCCAGUGCCGUGGGCCUCCCCAGCUUGGCUGCGUGUGGCAGCAAAUCCAGCCAGGCGGUCCUCAGCAAGAGAGACAUCACAAUCUCACAGAUCCACUCGGCUCUCUUCUCUUCUGCGUCCUGCUCUAUGGCCUGGGAAGCUGAUCUCCAAGGAUCGCAUUCCUAGGGCUCUCUGGCCCAUGGGCUUCCCGUUGGGUUUGCCCAAUGGACAGCCAUGGCAGAAGAUCAAAGGGAAGAUGGCAGGAAGCUGUCCCCCACUCCUCGCCUGGCUGAGUUCUGGCGAUGGCUGCCAUCCAGGGUCCUGAGUCCCACCAGUUUUUACCCCUUGAAGUGAGAAAGAACACGUCUACAACCCUCCCUCAUUCCAGAGGCUGUGUUUUUGCCCUUUGGUCAUGCAGAUGGGGCUAAAGCGAAGUUACAACAUUGGAAAAUGUCUUCUUAACGUCACACUGAUCUCCUUAAGGCAACGAGCCCCACAUGCUCUCUGAGGCCUGUGCACGUGUUCUGAGGACCCAGUUAUGUGCUGCGUGAUUCCAGAGGUGAACAGACCCUCACAGAUCACCUCUCCUCACCCUCUCAUGAGAGGGAAACUGAGGCUCAGGGGGAGAAUUGGCAAAGGUUACACUUGGUGGUGGGUUUGGAAUCUGCCCUGUGGACGCCCGACUAACCAUUUCUGCCAGAUGCGCGUGGGAAGUAAAAUGGGAAGAGGUGCUCCAUAGGAGGAGGGGACGUGGGUACAGUCACGUGGACCCGUGAGCCGGUCACCUGCGAGGCACCAGGGCCUACAGGAAAGGUGCCCGCUGUCGGCUUCCGCAGGGAAUUUCGUUAUCUUUGUGAGGUAGGGUGGAACUUGCAUCCUGAACAUUAAAGUUUACAUGCCAAGGAGGGCGGUGGAGUCCUUGGAACUUCCUGCCUCCCCCUGAGGCUGCCUCCCCAUGCGAUUGACCUGGUCUGGCUGGGCCUGAUGCUGGGCUCAAAGAGAACACAGGUCUCACCCUCCUAUGUGGCGUGUGGUGAAGACUAAGGAGGUCCCCAGGACCCUGAGGGUUGCCCUUGGGUGCAUUGGAGUAGAGGCCAGGGAAGUCCAUGUCCUUUCCGAGCCAGGCCUUGCCGCCGAGGUACAGCCACAGUGUCCCCCUUCCAGCUGCAGAGCCGCUGCUUCCUCAUCUGUCAGGUGGGAACAACGACCCCCACUCUGUGCACCUCACUGGCAGUAGCGAGCACGAAGUGUGAGGGUGGACUCUGCAAGGUGGAAGCCAUGUCCCUGCAGGUUGCAUCUGUGCUGCCUGCCCUGCUGAGGGACGGGAACAGCAGCAUAGCCUUCGGUACCACGUACCUUGUUUGUCAAAACUGGACCUGCCACAGCGCGGUGGCCCUUCUCCUGGGGAAACACACUGUGCCCCAGGAGGUGUGUGGACAAACACCUUCACAGCACUGAUGCUGAGACAGCCAGAGCCCAGAAACGCCCAGCCGCCCCCGGUAGGAAAAUGAAUAAGUAAAUUGGGGCAAUUGGAGAUUGUGAUGUCUCUCUUGCUGAAGACCACCUGGCUGGAUUUGCUGGGGUGGGACCCAGACCGGGACGUUUUCAUACACACAAAACGGGCUGUGCCAGGUGGCCUUCUCCAGGGCACGGUGGGUGGGGGAGUCUCAGGCUGCCACGUGCCUGGCAGGCUUGGGACGAGGUGAAGGGAGGUGAGUGUUCGUGGGGAUGCUGGGACCCCAUUCGGGCCAGGUCAAUCACAUGGGGAGAUACAGUAUCAACAGUAAAGGAUCUUUAGAUAUGUAAACACACAGAUAAGUGGCCGGUGUAAUGUGCAGAAAAUGCUAAACAACAGAAUGCAAUAAUACAAAGUUCCAAAGCAGGCAACCCUAAACUCCAUGUUC
rnacentral:lncRNA from 1 species